UUUUUUUUUUUUUUACUUUCGUUUUGGUACACCAGCUGAAAAUACAAUAUUUUUGGUAAUGGGAAAUAUAUAUUUCACAGCGGUUUAGAUGGUACAAUGAUUCUCUACCGUAUCCUUGCUUGUUUUGUCACAAACUGAAAUUAGGGGACCUAUUUGUGCUUUUGCAAACAGGAAAUGGCAGCGCAAUUCCUGCACAGUGCAUCUUUAAAGAAAUGUUGUGAAGGAAAAAUGUGAACUGCAGGGGCGAGUAGACUUUCCCUGGUGACUGUAUUUGUGACUAUCCAAAAUGCAUUUGACUGACGGUACAGAUGUACAGAGGUCAUCUUCUUUGAUGCCCGUUUGGACCGAGUCAGAACGUUUACUGCUUGUGACCCUUGGAGGAAGAAGAGUUCCACAUUUCUUCUCCGUCCUUCUCAACGACCAGGUUGCCGUCGUUACGCAGGCGGUAGGCGUCGCGCUGGCCCGCAGUGUCAGAGGACCACAUCUGCCUCCAGCCAUAGAUGACAAAGUUUCCGUCCUCCUGUGCAGAUGACAUAAAGGGUUGUGGUAAGGAUGGUGUAUGCGAAUAACCAUUAAAAAAUAAGACGUUUUACCACACAGUUUGGGAGCCACUGUCCUGGUUCAGCAAUAGCUGACUUCAGAUUACAUAUGGUCUGUAUCUGUAAAUGUACCUACCUGGAAAACUGCCUUGUAUUCCUUGUUAUUGGACCACAUGUAGUCUCCCUUACGCAAUAGCUGACUUCAGAUUACAUAUGGUCUGUAUCUGUAAAUGUACCUACCUGGAAAACUGCCUUGUAUUCCUUGUUAUUGGACCAUAUGUAGUCUCCCUUACGCAAUAGCUGACUUCAGAUUACAUAUGGUCUGUAUCUGUAAAUGUACCUACCUGGAAAACUGCCUUGUAUUCCUUGUUAUUGGACCAUAUGUAGUCUCCCUUACGCAAUAGCUGACUUCAGAUUACAUAUGGUCUGUAUCUGUAAAUGUACCUACCUGGAAAACUGCCUUAUAUUCCUUGUUAUUGGACCAUAUGUAGUCUCCCUUACGCAAUAGCUGACUUCAGAUUACAUAUGGUCUGUAUCUGUAAAUGUACCUACCUGGAAAACUGCCUUGUAUUCCUUGUUAUUGGACCAUAUGUAGUCUCCCUUACGCAAUAGCUGACUUCAGAUUACAUAUGGUCUGUAUCUGUAAAUGUACCUAUCUGGAAAACUGCCUUGUAUUCCUUGUUAUUGGACCAUAUGUAGUCUCCCUUACGCAAUAGCUGACUUCAGAUUACAUAUGGUCUGUAUCUGUAAAUGUACCUACCUGGAAAACUGCCUUAUAUUCCUUGUUAUUGGACCAUAUGUAGUCUCCCUUACGCAAUAGCUGACUUCAGAUUACAUAUGGUCUGUAUCUGUAAAUGUACCUACCUGGAAAACUGCCUUGUAUUCCUUGUUAUUGGACCACAUGUAGUCUCCCUUACGCAUCUCAUCAUACUUGGACAUGUAGUUCCUGCUCAUGAUUCUGAAAUAAAGAAUAAAUAAAUAAAA